AGUGAACGCUGGCGGUAGGCCUAACACAUGCCAGUCGAACGGCAGCACAGUAAGAGCUUGCUCUUACGGGUGGCGAGUGGCGGACGGGUGAGGAAUAAAUCGGAAUCUACUUUUUCGUGGGGGAUAAUGUAGGGAAACUUACGCUAAUACCGCAUACGACCUACGGGUGAAAGCAGGGGAUCUUCGGACCUUGCGCGAUUGAAUGAGCCGAUGUCGGAUUAGCUAGUUGGCGGGGUAAAGGCCCACCAAGGCGACGAUCCGUAGCUGGUCUGAGAGGAUGAUCAGCCACACUGGAACUGAGACACGGUCCAGACUCCUACGGGAGGCAGCAGUGGGGAAUAUUGGACAAUGGGCGCAAGCCUGAUCCAGCCAUACCGCGUGGGUGAAGAAGGCCUUCGGGUUGUAAAGCCCUUUUGUUGGGAAAGAAAAGCAGCAGGUUAAUACCCCGCUGUUCUGACGGUACCCAAAGAAUAAGCACCGGCUAACUUCGUG
rnacentral:rRNA from 1 species